rnacentral:rRNA from 1 species
AUUGAACGCUGGCGGCAUGCCUUACACAUGCAAGUCGAACGGCAGCACGGGUGCUUGCACCUGGUGGCGAGUGGCGAACGGGUGAGUAAUACAUCGGAACAUGUCCUGUAGUGGGGGAUAGCCCGGCGAAAGCCGGAUUAAUACCGCAUACGAUCUACGGAUGACAGCGGGGGACCUUCGGGCCUCGCGCUAUAGGGUUGGCCGAUGGCUGAUUAGCUAGUUGGGGGGGUAAAGGCCUACCAAGGCGACGAUCAGUAGCUGGUCUGAGAGGACGACAAGCCACACUGGGACUGAGACACGGCCCAGACUCCUACGGGAGGCAGCAGUGGGGAAUUUUGGACAAUGGGCGAAAGCCUGAUCCAGCAAUGCCGCGUGUGUGAAGAAGGCCUUCGGGUUGUAAAGCACUUUUGUCCGGAAAGAAAUCCUUGGCCCUAAUACGGUCGGGGGAUGACGGUACCGGAAGAAUAAGCACCGGCUAACUACGUG